GCACCUCAAAUUGUCCUUGCAGGCCCACUUUUGAAUGAACCGUACUUAAAGUCGUAAUUAUACAGGACUUUUUUUUAAGGAUAUUCAAAAUUUGUAUUUAUUUUGGUUGGUUUGGUUGGUUUUGGCAAAGUAAAAACACAUGAAAUACUGGAAAAAAUCUAGCUUUGACAAAACACAAUCGUAGACAUUUGACACUUGAUGAUCACAUUUUAAAUAUUCCCAAAAGUGUACUAACUUUACCCAAAAUGUGGGAGCAACUGGAGAGGUAUCGCAAUCACUUUUUGCAAAACGAGAUUAAGGAUGUGCUGAAGCCCAGCUCCAUAAACCGCCAGCAGAACAAGGAGUGGUCGAAAGCCAUGGAGAAAAGGCAUAUUUGUAAGUGCAUGCCGUAUGGCUGCAGUUCGACCUCCACACACCUGCAGGAUAGGGCCCAAUUGGCGUACGGCUGGUUUGCCCUCCCCAAACUGGUGAAGGAACUGGACAGCGAUGUUCCCCUGACCCACUGGAAGGCAGUGGUCUCGUUGACGGAGUUCCUCUCGAACCCGCUGAAUGCCCAGAGAGCGAUCACCGAAAAGGACAUUGUGAGAAAGUUGAAAAAUGCCUUUAUGCGAAUGAGAUUGAAGCUCCACAAGGAGCAAUACCGUGAGGUAGAGAUGUAUCUGAAGAUCUAUAAUAUACUUUCCCGCAACUUGGAUGGAGCCGAGCAUAUUGCCAACCGCAAAUGUUUGAGGAACGAGUUUUACAAAAUUAUUAAAAAUCAGGAGGCCAAUAAAGAUGGUUUGGCAUCAGAGAUUCUCAGAAAUUUGACGGGCAAACCAAAGGUUCUGGGCAUUUUCAUGGAGGAUCCUGAGAACUUUGCCGCCCUGGCGGAGAUCUUCAACCAGGAUCCCUGCCGUCCGCACUAUCCGCUGGACUUGUGGCACCAUCUGUGCCACUUGUUGGAGGUGGCGCCCGAGCAGGCCAUCGCGUUGGGUUUCUUCGAGCUGCUGCACCAGCGGAUCCUCAACCGCCUGGCCGACUUCUGGGACAUGGCCACCAAGGCGUUCGCCCUGCUGCUCCGCUGUGCGGAGGGUCAGCGGCACUUCAAUGCGGUGGAUGGCGUCAAGCUGCUCUACGACAUCUUUGCCCAGCCGGAUGAGGAGAAGCCCAGUAUGCUGUUGCCCCAGCAGAAGGUGCAGAACUGGGAGUACACGGUGCUGGCCCUGCUCAAUGGCCUGCACAGCAAGCGGGCUCUGUGGCGCAGCAGGGAGUUCACCCAGCUGCCCUGCUACGUGGGUCGUCUGAUGGAGUCGGCGAUGGCGGCGACAGUGGCCAAUCCGCGCCUGCAACUCUACUGUUUGAAGGCGUUGCGCGAACUGGGCGUGAUGCCCUGCACCAAGCGCUACAUCGUGGCCAACUGGUUGGCGGACAUUUGCCAGCUGUUCUGCCUGGAUGCGGAGGCCGAGUGCGCCCGGGAUUCGCUGGUCGAUUGGCUGCGUCGCGAUAUAGCCGACAGCAGCUAAAUCGAACUUAAAAGUGUUUAAUUUGCAGCUUACAGUGUUUGGUUUUUAACAAUAGAGCCAUCUGUUGGUGGCCAAGAAACAAGAAACAAGAAACAAGAAACAUAGAACUGCCCCGCUUUCGAACCGCUAAGAUAAAACCAAACCGUUUCGAACUACCCCUGAUGUCCCAAAGAGAAACCGGUUAAAAGAGAGAGCGAACUUACUUGGGUCCUACGGGAGAGCUUAAAUGAGAGCUCUCAGCUGUCAGCUGUCAGCUGUUUGCUUAACACAAAUUGUGUUCGACGCCUGCCUUGACCCUGGCAGACAUACAUACAUAUGUACACACGUAUUUGUUGACAACUUUGCAUAUUUGUGGAGUUGUCAAGAAGGCAGCAGAAACUUUUCCAAUUUCCGAUGCCUGGACAUCAGCGACAAUAAUGAGCAGUGGAGAGGAUGCAAGGAUGCAAGGAUGCAGUGCUGCCAGGACAACAACCGCAGAGACAGCAACAAAACGACGAGAGAGCAACAACCACCGACCAGAGUUGCCACAACAACCACAGUUUGCGGUUUGUGCCAAGCCUUCAGUGCGCUGUUUUUUUUCACAUCUACACAUAUUUUAAUAUCUAUCCCUGCACAUACAAACUGUAUAAAUAAUACCAUUUUUUGCCCCCCUCACUUUUAUGCGGUGACAAACUUGGCAACGAGUUGCAGUUCCCUUUUUAACUUAUUUGGAUUGGCGGCGGCGGGAAGAUUCCGGGUCCGGGUCCGGGUCCGGGUCCGGGUCCGGGUUCGGGUCCGGGUCCGGCAUUGUCCACGGCCCACAUUUCGCAUUCAAUCGGCGAGUUUUGUGCCUUGUCAUCGGCGGGCUUCUUCGUGGUUCGGGUUCGGUAGCAAUUUUCCAAAGUCCCUGGUGCCCGAGUCGCUUUUGUGAACUUUUUAAUUACCGCUGUGAGUUUGCCUUAUUUCGCCUUUUUCGCUUUUUGUAGUCUUUUCCCUCACUUUUUGCUUUUGGGUUUUUCCCACUUUUCAAGUUGUUUAUGAAAUAUUUUAUGGAAAUUAUGCAAAACUUGUUUACCAGACUUCAUAUUCAGCACUCGCCGUUCGCCAUUUGGCGCCUUCAAACAAAGCUCCUCGCUUCUUGCCACUCAAAUUAAUUGCAUAACAAAUUGUGUUGAUGAAGUGCAAGAAUACAAGAAUGCCGGAGUGCAUCUAACUCAAAUUGGCUUGGCCAUGAGACCAUUUCCUGGUCAAUAAUAUGGUUGGUUGCACUGGCCUUCCUCAACGAGUUUUACAGUGCAGCACUCUCAGGAAGUGCUCAUUAAUACAGCAAUUUGGAAAAGUGAAAAUUAAAAACACUUCAAUUGUAUUAAAUGGGAAAUGAAUACAAAAGGGUACGUAAAAAACCAUUAAAACACAAAAUCAUGUAGCAUUAUAAAUAUGUUUUAAGAUUUGAUAUGAACUGUUUGUCCGCUUUCAAUAAUAUAA